rnacentral:pre_miRNA from 1 species
CUUAUACUCCCUCCAUCCCGAAUUACUUGUCGCAGAAAUUGAUGUAUCUAGAACUAAAAAAUGUCUAGAUACAUCCAUUUCUAUGACAAGUAAUUCCGAACGGAGGGAGUAGCUC